AUGUUUCUGACCGUGUACCUCAGCAACAACGAGCAGCACUUUACCGAAGUCCCCGUGACCCCAGAAACAAUAUGCCGGGAUGUGGUGGACCUGUGCAAGGAGCCCGGCGAGAGCGACUGCCACUUGGCCGAAGUGUGGUGCGGCUCAGAACGCCCCGUCGCAGAUAACGAGCGGAUGUUCGACGUCCUGCAGAGGUUUGGGAGUCAGAGGAGCGACGUGCGUUUCUUCCUGCGGCACGAGCGCCCCCCUGGCAGGGACUUCGUGAGUGGACCACGGCCUCAGGACCCAACUUUGAAGAGAAAUGGUGUGAAAGUUCCCGGUGACCAUCGGAGGAAGGAGAACGGGGUUAAUAGUCCUCGGAUGGAUCUGACCCUCGCUGAGCUCCAGGAAAUGGCAUCUCGCCAGCAGCAGCAGAUAGAGGCCCAGCAGCAGAUGCUGGCAACGAAGGAACAGCGCUUGAAGUUUCUGAAGCAGCAGGAUCAGCGGCAGCAGCAGCAGGCUGCCGAGCAGGAGAAGCUCCGGAGGCUGAAAGAAAUCGCCGAGAACCAGGAGGCGAAGCUGAAGAAAGUGAGAGCGCUCAAAGGCCACGUGGAGCAGAAGAGGCUGAGCAACGGGAGGCUCGUGGAGGAAAUUGAGCAGAUGAACAGUCUGUUCCAGCAGAAGCAGAGGGAGCUCGUCCUGGCCAUGUCCAAAGUCGAGGAGCUGACGAGGCAGCUUGAGAUGCUCAAGAACGGCAGAAUCGACGGCCACCAUGACAACCAGUCCGCCGUGGCCGAGCUCGACCGGCUGUACAAGGAGCUGCAGUUAAGAAACAAACUGAAUCAGGAGCAGAAUGCCAAGCUGCAACAACAGAGGGAGUGUUUGAAUAAGCGCAAUUCAGAGGUGGCGGUGAUGGACAAGCGUGUGAAUGAGCUGCGGGACCGGCUGUGGAAGAAGAAGGCGGCGCUGCAGCAGAAGGAGAACCUCCCCGUUUCACCUGAUGGGAACCUGCCUCCGCCAGGCGUGUCGGCGCCGAGUCGCGUGGCUGCCGUCGGUCCCUACAUCCAGUCGUCCACCAUGCCCCGGAUGCCCUCCCGGCCGGAACUGCUGGUGAAGCCGGCGCUGCCCGAUGGACCCUUGGCCAUGCAGCCUGCGGAGGGGCCCAUGAAAGUCCACACCCUGCCCAACAUGCGAUCCGGGGCCGCCGCGCAGACUAAAGGCUCUAAAGUCCAUUCCCUCGGCCCCGACUGGAGUCCCCACGCAGACCUCUUCCCCAGCCAGGCCUCUGCCUCUGCCCCGAAAGGCGCCGGGAGUGCGCCCGACCCAGCUGAUGAUGGAGAGGUUCCGCCGAGGGAGAAGGAGAAGAAAGUGCGUCCCUUCUCGAUGUUUGACACGGUCGACCAGGCGGCUGCGCCCCCCGCCUUCGGGUCCCUGAGGAAGAACCAGAGCAGCGAGGACAUCCUGCGGGACGCGCAGGCUGCAAAUAAAAAUGGGAAAGUACCACCUCCUGUUCCAUCAAAACCCAAACAGAUCAACUUGCCUUAUUUUGGACAAACCAGUGCGUCCCCGUCAGACAUGAAGCCUGACGGGAACCCUCCGCAGUUGUCUGCAGCCGUGGCGUCCGUGGGAAAUAAGCCCAAGCCCGCGGGGCAGCCGCAGAGGGGCCUGCUGGCCCCCGGCGCACCGUCGGGCGGCCAGGACCCAGCCCUCGUGCCCGGCGCCAAGCAGGAGAGCCCACCGGCCGCGGCUGUGCGGCCCUUCACGCCGCAGCCCUCCAAGGAGGCCGGCCUGCCCCCUUUCCGGAGGCCGCAGACGGUGGCGGCCAGCUCCAUCUACUCCAUGUACACCCAGCACCAGGCGCCCGGCAAGAGCUUCCAGCAGGCCGUGCAGAGCGCCCUGACCAAGGCGCAGCCCCGAGGGCCGCACUUCCCCAGCGUCUAUGGCAAGCCUGUGAUCGCUGCCCAGAACCCACAGCCCCUGGACAGCAUGUACUCCGGGAACCAGGGCAAACCCGGCGGCCCCGAGUCUGACAUGGAGCCGGCCUCCUCCGUUCCGGAGAGCCACGAGAACGAGAGGAUUCCUCGGCCCCUCAGCCCCACCAAGUUGCUGCCUUUCCUGUCGCACCCCUACCGAAACCAGAGCGACGUUGACCUCGAAGCUCUGCGCAAGAAGCUGUCCAACGCCCCCCGGCCCCUGAAGAAGCGCAGCUCCAUCACAGAGCCCGAGGGUCCCAACGGGCCGAACAUUCAGAAGCUCCUGUACCAGCGGACCACCAUCGCUGCCAUGGAGACCAUCUCGGUGCCCUCCUACCCGGCCACGGCGAGCGCAGUGACCGCCGGCCCCGAGAGCCCCGUGGAAAUCCAGAACCCGUACGCACACGCGGAGCCGGAGAAGGAGGUGGCCUCUCUGGCCCCUGAGCCCGUGUCCCCGGAGGCGGCCGCCCACGCCAGCACAGCGAGCAGUGACGUGCCAGCUCCUCCCCUGGGCCUGGAUUAUGUGUCCGAAGGCGCCCCGGACACCAGCCCGAGUUUCCCGAAUAACGUGGAAGAACCGAAUCCAGAGGCUCCCCACCUGCUGGAGGUGUACCUGGAGGAGUAUCCCCCCUACCCUCCGCCACCGUACCCCUCGGGGGAGCCAGAGGGGCUGGGGGAGGACUCCGGGAGCCUGCGUCCGCCUGAGAUCACCGGGCAGGUGUCGCUGCCUCCGGGCAAAAGGACCAACUUACGGAAGACUGGUUCCGAGCGAAUUGCCCACGGAAUGAGGGUGAAGUUCAACCCCCUGGCUUUGCUUCUAGAUUCAUCUCUGGAGGGAGAGUUUGACCUUGUACAGAGGAUUAUCUAUGAGGUGGAGGACCCGAGCCUGCCCAACGACGAGGGCAUCACGGCGCUCCACAACGCCGUGUGCGCCGGCCACACAGAGAUUGUGAAGUUCCUGGUGCAGUUUGGUGUGAACGUAAAUGCUGCUGACAGCGACGGGUGGACCCCCCUGCAUUGCGCUGCCUCCUGCAACAACGUCCAGGUGUGUAAGUUUCUGGUGGAGUCGGGGGCCGCCGUGUUUGCCAUGACCUACAGCGACAUGCAGACGGCCGCGGACAAGUGCGAGGAGAUGGAGGAGGGCUACACGCAGUGCUCCCAGUUUCUGUACGGCGUCCAGGAGAAGAUGGGCAUCAUGAACAAAGGCGUCAUCUACGCGCUCUGGGAUUACGAGCCUCAGAACGAGGACGAGCUGCCCAUGAAGGAGGGAGACUGCAUGACCGUCCUCCGGCGGGAGGACGAGGACGAGGUGGAGUGGUGGUGGGCGCGCCUGAACGACAAGGAGGGCUACGUCCCGCGCAACCUGCUGGGGCCUGAAUGAUUUCACCCGUCCCCACGCUGCCUGUGAUGCAAGAUUUAUUAUUCAACAGCCAGCGCUCCUUCAUGUAACAUAAAUGACAGAGGAUCGUGGAGUGAAAAGAUACAGGCAUGGGGCCCUUUACAAAGGCUCUGAGUUCCCAGCUGUACCCGAGAAUUAAACCAAGACAGAGGAGCUUGGCCUGAAACCUGAUUGAAGGUAGUUAAUGAAGAAUUAAUCUGUUACCACUAAGAAGUCAUAGGAUUGUUUUGGGCACAAUCUCACAAGACUUAUUUCAAUGACGCCGUAACGUGAGAGCCGUGAGAAUGCUCUGGAAGAAAUGAAGGAUGGAACAACUCCCUGUUGGUGCAGGACGGCGGCACCAGGAAGUGGAGCUUAGGCGGAUAUGACCUCACUGCGCGGGGACAGGCGUGCCAGGAGCACUCAGACACAGCGACAGCCUCUUUCCGCAAGAAGCAGGGCCCCUUGUCGGGCUCCUGGGAGACCCUUGGAGUUUGCCAGCACCUGCCCCUGUGCCUGUCCCCCCACGGGAAGGACCAGGGCCAUCACGGGCCACCCUGGGCCACCUCUGAUGGCCCCAGCACCAGCUGCCCUCGGGGGCCCCAUGAAGGCUCGAAGGUGCGCACGCCCGUGCACUGUCAGUGAAGAGCGGUUGGUAGCCAGUGAGCAGUGACUUUGUUACACGUGCUUGUAGCAUUUUAAGAAUUAUGCAUAUAUUUGAAAUACUGAAACCAAGCUACACUACAGAUAAUUAGGUUUGGAAUCUUGUUUUUAGGCCACAUUUGAAUCUAUAUUUAUUGCCUUUUGUAUCUUGGAAAUGACUUGUUACAGACUUACCCAUAAUACUUGGCAAGAUCUUAGCUGACUUUGAAAACAGUUGUAAUAAAAGUAAAUGUGGGACUUUG